AUAUAAGUGACUUACCCAAGAUUACACAGCUAAUGGACCACAGUCGGUGUGCUCAGUUGGUACCCAUGUCAUGACAGGAGCUCUAAAGGAAGACUGCCAGGACAUUAUGAGGCCCUUCUUCUCCAGAAGAGGAUUUGCCUGAGGACAUGGAAAGGAAUCCCACUGAGUCCCAGGAGAGAGAAAUUUCGCUUCCAUUACCUCCACUGACAAGAUGCAGUUUAUAAAUGAGACACCAGUGAACACAACCAACAAUGAUUAUUUUUCAAAGAAAGAGAUUAAAAAGUAAACUUGGAUUCUGGGUGAGAACACUACAAGCAACUAAAACACAGUGCUGAUGAAUGAGAAAGAAACAAGGUUUAACUACAUGGUCCUGGAAAAAAAGAAGAAAACACCAUGAAACCACCUAUUUUAUAGGACCCACUUCAGGCACUAAAUCAUC